GACGAACGCUGGCGGCGUGCUUAACACAUGCAAGUCGAACGGAAAGGCCCUGCUUUUGUGGGGUGCUCGAGUGGCGAACGGGUGAGUAACACGUGAGUAACCUGCCCUUGACUUUGGGAUAACUUCAGGAAACUGGGGCUAAUACCGGAUAGGAGCUCCUGCUGCAUGGUGGGGGUUGGAAAGUUUCGGCGGUUGGGGAUGGACUCGCGGCUUAUCAGCUUGUUGGUGGGGUAGUGGCUUACCAAGGCUUUGACGGGUAGCCGGCCUGAGAGGGUGACCGGCCACAUUGGGACUGAGAUACGGCCCAGACUCCUACGGGAGGCAGCAGUGGGGAAUAUUGCACAAUGGGCGGAAGCCUGAUGCAGCAACGCCGCGUGCGGGAUGACGGCCUUCGGGUUGUAAACCGCUUUCGCCUGUGACGAAGCGUGAGUGACGGUAAUGGGUAAAGAAGCACCGGCUAACUAUGUA
rnacentral:rRNA from 1 species